AUUGAACGCUGGCGGCAGGCCUAACACAUGCAAGUCGAGCGGAUGAAGGGAGCUUGCUCCCGGAUUCAGCGGCGGACGGGUGAGUAAUGCCUAGGAAUCUGCCUGGUAGUGGGGGAUAACGUCCGGAAACGGGCGCUAAUACCGCAUACGUCCUGAGGGAGAAAGUGGGGGAUCUUCGGACCUCACGCUAUCAGAUGAGCCUAGGUCGGAUUAGCUAGUUGGUGGGGUAAAGGCCUACCAAGGCGACGAUCCGUAACUGGUCUGAGAGGAUGAUCAGUCACACUGGAACUGAGACACGGUCCAGACUCCUACGGGAGGCAGCAGUGGGGAAUAUUGGACAAUGGGCGAAAGCCUGAUCCAGCCAUGCCGAGUGUGUGAAGAAGGUCUUCGGAUUGUAAAGCACUUUAAGUUGGGAGGAAGGGCAGUAAGUUAAUACCUUGCUGUUUUGACGUUACCAACAGAAUAAGCACCGGCUAACUUCGUG
rnacentral:rRNA from 1 species